rnacentral:lncRNA from 1 species
CUGUGACUAGGCGUACUGUUCCAGUACUUCGUAUUAAUGUACAACUAAAUGAACUAAUUAUUAAAAAGUAAACAGACCUUUAAACUGAAGAACUUGAUUGGCUUGUAUACAUUGGUUUCUUUGUCGUAUAGUUCAAUUGCUGUUGCUUGUAAAUGUUUUAUAAACCAGUACUGCGUAGAAGCGAAAUUUCGGGCCGUCUUUCACAACAAAUAACAUCACAAUAACUGCACAUCAUUUUCUCUUUAAUACAGAAUCAUUUUCCCCGUCCAUUGAGUUAUAAUUUCCAAAACGAACCAGUCGCUAUAACGUAAAAUAAGCGGGUAUUUGUGAACAAAAAUGCCCUUUGAUAUAACACGAGGUAACCAGCGCCAUCUUGUCUUCUCCAAACAUUACAGAUUUUCCCGCCAAAACCCGCCCCCAAAGUCCCGUAUGUACCUGACGUCACAAGUGUCAUCGACGGGGGGGACUACCAUAUUUGGUAGUCCCCAUAAAUACGCACUAAAUCCAAUUUUAAUCUCUUUACCUUCGCUACUUUUGCUUUCCACAUGCCAACAAAACUAGCUUCUUAGCACAUACAUAGCAUACGCUUUAUAAAAUACUUAAAAAAAUGGACCUAAACAAUAUUGGAGCGACAACAAUUUUGGAAAGUUUCUCCGGAAAUUUUUCUCACUUGAUGAAAAAACUUUUUCAUCUCUUUUUUUCUUUUCUUUUUUUCACAUUAUUGUACGUACGUUGGAACAGCACUAUAGUAUCA